UACGUAGGGUGUGAGCGUUAAUCGGAAUUACUGGGCGUAAAGCGUGCGCAGGCGGUUUUGUAAGCCAGAUGUGAAAUCCCCGGGCUUAACCUGGGAAUGGCAUUUGGGACUGCAAGGCUGGAGUUUGGCAGAGGAGACUGGAAUCCCUGGUGUAGCAGUGAAAUGCGUAGAUAUCAGGAGGAACACCGAUGGCGAAGGCAGGUCUCUGGGCUGAAACUGACGCUCAUGCACGAAAGCGUGGGGAGCAAACAGG
rnacentral:rRNA from 1 species